rnacentral:rRNA from 1 species
AGAGUUUGAUCAUGGCUCAGGAUGAACGCUAGCGGCAGGCUUAAUACAUGCAAGUCGUGGGGCAGCAUAUCCCGCAGCAAUGCGGGAUGAUGGCGACCGGCAAACGGGUGCGGAACACGUACACAACCUUCCUUUUAGUGGAGAAUAGCCCAGGGAGACUUGGAUUAAUACUCCGUAACAUAUAGAAGUGGCAUCACUUUUAUAUUAUAGCAGCAAUGCGCUAGAAGAUGGGUGUGCGGCUGAUUAGGUAGUUGGCGGGGUAACGGCCCACCAAGCCUGCGAUCAGUAACUGGUGUGAGAGCACGACCAGUCACACGGGCACUGAGACACGGGCCCGACUCCUACGGGAGGCAGCAGUAAGGAAUAUUGGUCAAUGGACGCAAGUCUGAACCAGCCAUGCCGCGUGGAGGAUGAAGGUCCUCUGGAUUGUAAACUUCUUUUAUCUGGGAAGAAACCCAUAUUUUCUAGUGUGGUUGACGGUACCAGAUGAAUAAGCACCGGCUAACUCCGUGCUAGCAGCCGCGGUAAUC